rnacentral:lncRNA from 1 species
CUCCAGUCAGAUGUAAGCUGUCCCUCUUUGAGUUGGCCCUGUGGUCUUUAGCUUCUGGGACAGGUCGUGAGCUUCUAGAUUGCUGUGCUGACUGGAAUUCUGGGUGGCCUGUCAACAGCAGCUGGGAUCAGUGUGUCAGCAGGUCCUGUAAAUCCUACCAAGUGUCAGUUCCUGCAGAGGAAGCCCUGUCAGCUGCCAAUGAGUCUGCCCCCUUUCAUACCUGCUGAACUGACUCUCAAGAAGAAGGCUGGGCAGGCAGCCAGGAAGUAGUCAGCUCCAGCUUUGUGCCUUUGCUUUGAGGUCUGGGAUGUCUGAGUUCACACCUACCUGCCUGAGAAGGCUGCGAGGGGUAAGGCACCCACGGGGAUAUCCGCACAGUGGAAGGCAGGCAUGAUCUCAACCGGUCUGCUGAGAGGGCCAUAGGUGGAAUAUACAGGCUGGUACAGGCCCCUAGACUUGUACCUGUAUAUCCCUGUGUGACAGCCAGCCUCAACUUCAACCUGGGUAUCCUCUGUGUCACCUGUAGCCACAGUCAUGAAAGCUUCUGUUGUAGAGAUUUUUGGGUCUUGUGCA